rnacentral:rRNA from 1 species
UACGAAGGGGGCUAGCGUUGUUCGGAUUUACUGGGCGUAAAGCGCACGUAGGCGGAUUGUUAAGUCGGGGGUGAAAUCCUGGAGCUCAACUCCAGAACUGCCUUCGAUACUGGCAAUCUCGAGUCCGGAAGAGGUAAGUGGAACUUCUAGUGUAGAGGUGGAAUUCGUAGAUAUUCGCAAGAACACCAGUGGCGAAGGCGGCUCACUGGCCCGGUACUGACGCUGAGGUGCGAAAGCGUGGGGAGCAAACAGG